GACGAACGCUGGCGGCGCGCCUAACACAUGCAAGUCGAACGAGCGAGAGAGAGCUUGCUUUCUCGAGCGAGUGGCGAACGGGUGAGUAACGCGUGAGGAACCUGCCUCAAAGAGGGGGACAACAGUUGGAAACGACUGCUAAUACCGCAUAAGCCCACGACCCGGCAUCGGGUUGAGGGAAAAGGAGUGAUCCGCUUUGAGAUGGCCUCGCGUCCGAUUAGCUAGUUGGUGAGGUAACGGCCCACCAAGGCGACGAUCGGUAGCCGGACUGAGAGGUUGAACGGCCACAUUGGGACUGAGACACGGCCCAGACUCCUACGGGAGGCAGCAGUGGGGAAUAUUGCACAAUGGGGGAAACCCUGAUGCAGCGACGCCGCGUGGAGGAAGAAGGUCUUCGGAUUGUAAACUCCUGUUG
rnacentral:rRNA from 1 species